UGGUAGAAACAACAAAAUUGCUUAACAAUGUACUUUUCCUGGGCCGUAAAGGGUGAACUCGCUACGAUUUCAGCCAUCCUGCUGGCUCGGCAAUUGUUGAGAUUCAGCCGGUUUUUGCAUGCCAUAGGGUCUACUAGCAAGUCCAGGUGCUGCUAAAAGAUAGUAUGAGAGCUGCAGGCUGGGGGCUUUUACCAUUCUGGGCUUUAGCAGCUGAAGCUGCCACCUUCUCCCCAUGGACAGAGCCAGAGUAUUCUCAGGUGAUGUUUUCUUCUCAUCCAAAUGGUUUCCCAUGGGUAAUUCAUGCAAAACCAGAAUCCAGCUGCUGGACUAUUUCCCCAUUUCAGGCAAAACUCUGAUAAUCCACAGUACUAUAGCUUUCAUGUGCUGGGGCACCAUGCCAGUGUUGCAACUGCUGCAGAAGG